rfam:Buceros rhinoceros silvestris contig162736, whole genome shotgun sequence.
GCCUGGAUAGCUCAGCUGGGAGAGCAUCAGACUUUUAAUCUGAGGGUCCAGGGUUCAAGCCCCUGUUCAGGCA